AAAACAUAGCAUUGGUUGAUGUUUUGGUUUCUAUUUCGGGGGACGUCUUUCUUUUUUUCACCCCACAAUAUGUCUUGCAGCGUUAGGUAGAUUGACAUCCUCUUUUUUAAGUGAGACGUAGUGGUCAUCGGUAUGCAUACUUCAUUUCCGGGCUAAUGGGCAUUUAGAAUGUUCUGGGGUUUUCCUUUUGCAUUACAAACAAGGAUGCAACAGGCGUCUCCACCCACUCACUCGCCACAUCUCAAAUGGCCAAUAGCCACACGUGGCUAGCAGCUACCAUAUUGGACACCGCGGAGCUGGGAUGUUUCCAUCAUUAUAGAAAAUUCUCCUGGCAGUGCUGACUCUAGAAAACAGGAGUCAAGUGGGUAGAAUGAACACUCCUUAUUUACAUCAUCUGGGCUGAACUGGGGGCCAGCAGGCUAGGAGCUAGGUGCCAAACAGACUAACCUACUGGUCUUCCCUGUUCUGUCUCACCUGCACGCACACCUCUCUUUGUUCUUGAUUUGUAAGUUCAAUGAGGCGGAGCUACCAGACCCAAAUGGGACAGUCGAGAAUGAUUUCGUAGAGCCGUGGGCUCCGAUGACGUUGGGCUCAAAGUCGGGCGAGAUGGGCCAGACUGCAGAAGUUACUCCAGGCUUCCGGUUGGCGGCAAGGAUCUAGUUUUGACAGGUCAUGAUCUCGAGGUUCGUGAGUCAGAGCCCCACGUUAGGCUCUGUGCUGGGCAGCCUCAGAACCGGCCUGUGGUACUUCCCAGAGGUGGAGACCAGCCCGCAUCCUUGCCCUACAGCCUUGCCCAGUUGCUGAAAAUCUGCACAGUCCAGAUCUCCUCUCCCAUGUCACACUGACAAUCCUCCCUUAUCUGAGCAGAAAACGAGAACUUUCUUAUCUGAAGAGUCUAACACGUGGAUCUCUGGAUGCGGGGAGGCAACAAGGCGCCCUCUGAGAGCAGGGGAUCGUAUUGAACACAGGAAGAGAGUUAAGUGAAGUUUUACCUAUUUAAGGGUAAGAUCUGGCCUUCUUUCCCAUCUCCGCUUUGAAGACACUGACAGGCAGAUUUGUACAUUUUGAGCAGGAUUUUGGAGGACAGUUUCCAGGGAAAUCUGACCAAUCCCAGAGGAAAAAAACCCUGAAGAUACAGACACUGUAUUUGCUUCUGUUUCAACUGCUGUAACAGACUAUCAUUGACUGGGUGGCUUACACAAUAAGCAUUUUUUUUUUUUUCUCCCAGUUCUGGAUCCUGGCAAGUCCAAGAUCAAGGCACCAGCAGAUUCAGUGUCUGGUGAGGCCCUGCCUCCUGGUUUAUUCAUAGGCUCUUCUCACUGUCUUUACAGGGCAGAGAGGGUGAGAGAGCUCUCUGGGGUCUUUUCUUAUACAGACACGAAUCCCAUUCAUGAGGGCUCUAAGCACCGCCCAAAGGCCCCACCUCCUGACGCCAUCCCACUGGGGGUUGGGAUUUCAGCAUAUGAAUUCGAGAGGAACGCACACUUUCAGGUCAUAAAGAUUGCAGAGGAUUCUUCCAGGGGAGAUUUGACCAG